AUUCGUCAGAAAAGCGGGAACUCCAGACACCAUCAUUUCGGCAAGUUCACAUUUUCUUUGAACGGAUCGUUCCGUUGAUUUAGAUUUAUCUUUCCACUUGAAAUUCGCAGGACAAAAACAAUACGGGCCUCAACCUAAAACUACAAGAGAGGCUCAACUCUAACCCAAAUUCUCGAUGCACUUUGGCGUCUGACUGCGUAAAUUUCAUUAGACCAGGAUCAAAAAACGUCUUUCUCGACGCAAUGGUUUACCUCAAAGAUGAAGUAAGACAGGAUUUUCGAAAGACUGGAAAAUGCAACUUGCAAAUAGCAAACGGUUUAUUUAUGACGGGUGUUACAACGUUAGCCCUACCGAAAAACAGUCCCUACACCAAAAGUAUUAACCGCGGAUUGUUGGAGUUGCAACAAACUGGACUGCUCGACUACUGGGACCUGUGGUUCCGCCCCAUGCCCCCUCAAUGUACGGGAAAUGUCCAAAGUGGGAAAGCAAUGCCGAAAAACAAACUGGCCCCACUUUCCUUAAAAAAUUUGACGGGCGCAUUUCUGGUCAUUGCCGUUGGAUUCGGCCUUUCCCUUUUGGCAUUUCUCUGCGAAAAAAUUAUUUCUAUGCGUGACCGCCACAGCAUCCGCACCCGAACGCCCAAUAACAGACAGUAAUUUACCGUUUUCUAAGCAUGUUCCGAGUA